CACAAAUCCACCAAGAAGAAGAGCGACUUAUCACCUACACUUCAGCUGUUUCAAUACAUCAAUAUAUAUUUCGUUUUGUGAACUCUUUGCCAACUUCAAUGAUUUGCCGGCAUGGAAGAUGAAUAGGGAGCUCAAAUUUCUAAUCUCAAAUCAACAACAACACCUGAAGAUCAGACAUUGAUUUUUCUUGAUUCUCUGGAUGAUUAUCUCAUCCUCAUUCAAACCUUAACUUCCACACUUCGCCACGAAUUCAACACUGGAUCCAUAAACUUUCUUUCUCCAAUACUCUAUACUUUUUUCUUUCUUUCAGUUUGUCGUAUGAUCUACGUGAUUGUGUUAUUAAAACUUGAUUUUUUUUUUUUUUUGGAAAUAGUUUGGGAUUUUUACAAUUUCAGUUACUUUAUCAUGAUUCCUUGUCAGUUAUCAUAAAAUUGUUGUAUUUAGAUAUUAUAUUAUCCUUUUCGAUUUUUAAUUUUGAACUGUUUAGGUUGUGCUAGCAAAUAGAACUAGGGUUUAAUUUCAGAUCUGUUUUUGGUGCAUAUGGGUCACGUGGGUUACCCGUCAAAUACCCAACUGAUUGGGUUUCAGAUCCUUUUCGAUUGGGCCUCCGGAUCCUCGGGUUUGGGCUGCUACUCGACCCAACUGAUUGGGUUUUCUUCCUUGUACUCAAGUAGGGGUAUGCAAUGUUUUCAGGACCGGAGGUCGACCAGUCGCCUUACUGGGUCAAAGGUCGGACCGGUUCGACCGGAUUUAAGACCUGGAUUACGUUGUAAAUUAUAUAAAAAUAUAUAUAAAAUAUAGAGAUCAAUUAGCCUUUGAUGCUCCUUAAAAUUUUUGAUAAACUUGUAAGCAGAAGUUUCAAUGUUGAAUUUCAUUAAAAAAUCAUGAUUAUUAUUUUAUAUCUUUAUAUUAGUAGGCAAAAUAGAAAAGAAAAAUUAAAUUACAUAUGUUCAAAAGUAACAGGCGGUAACUAGUUUUAUUGGGAAACAUGAUAUAUAUCUGAACUUACUUGUUGCUUUUUCAAUAUUUUCCCAAUGCAAUGCAUAAUGGUUAUAUUAAUAUAAUAACAAACACUUCAUCUUCUUCAAUUAAGUUGCUGCUGCAACUUUUAAUCGACCAGACUUUUCGUUUUUCGACACCGGAAAAUAUCACCGCUGUGAACGCCCGGCCCGACCGCUCGGCUACCAGCCCAACGACCGCCCCUUUGUUGAAACGGCCCAAAACAGAGAACAGGCCCGCUGCAGUCUCCGGGAUGGCUGGAGUUAGCAAGUGCGAAACAUUCAAUGGGUGCUUCCCGUGUAAACACUUCCUUGCUUAGCUUAGUUAAAACACCGUUCGGCUGCUACAAAAGUGGAGCUAGAUUAUCAUGACAAUGGUGGCUCUACAACAAAGUGACCACAGUUCAGUUUAUGUAAACGGACAUCUACUCAUGAAAAAAACUCAUCUCUCGAGAAGGAAAAUGUCGAGGAAGACGAGCAGUGAAAAGAAAAUAUGAGCAGUCUGGAAUCUGAUUAAUAUUUUGUUCAUUUUUAAGUUUGUGUGUCAUCUUUGCAAGAACCAAUUUACAGCACAUCCGUGCUCAUUUCAUCCCUUUUUGUAUUCAAAGUUCUAUUAAGGUAUGCCUUCUGCUCAAUUUCUUUAUCUGUAUUAUUUAUACACAGCCAAUUUCAACUUGUUUGCAUGAUCAGUUCCAGAUAAGUAAAAAGUUUAUGCAUGUCAACUGUUUGAUGAAAUGUCUGAAUGACUUUACAUUGAUUAUGACCAAUAGUUUGGAUUUGGAUGGUAAAAGGAUUAGAACCAAGGUUGG